AUGGCAUAUUCAGAAACUGGGAGUAGCUAUUACUAUUAGAGGCACAAGGCACAAGCAGGCCAUGACAGUUGUCGGCAUGCUGCUGAGGUCUCUGACGUCCCUGCUGAGUAAUGCCAUACUCCCUCGAUGAUCUGGAAUAUCCUUUUCAUGCUGUUGUAGCUGUAUUAUUUUGCUCGACAAGGACAUGGAUAUAAGUUUUGUCAGACCAGUUCACUCUAUGGUUUUAAUGCCUGGAAUAAAUGGUUGGUUUGAUUAAGUGGCCAACCUGGCUCGAACUGGCUCAAACUAUAACACGAACCAUGGUCACUGUUCGGUCAGCCCUGCCCCUUUCCGAAAAGAGAAGGAUGAAAGAUGCAGCUAUGUGAUCUUGAACCGAGGACCUCUACUUACAUUGGGUAGGGGAGUCCAUACCAACUUUACUUCUUUGUUUAACUAUUAGGUAAAUAGUACAUAUACCAACAGUUCAUAUGUACACAUGCACACACAUCCAAGUUAAGUAAUAUUAUUAAUUCAAUCGAACACUUCUCUAUCUUUUUAUCUUUCAUUGUGUGCUUGAUUAUUAAUAACAAUAAUAAUAAUUGUUAGAUACCACUUUACCACUUAAGCUAUUAGGUUGUGGACCAGCGGUGUAUAUCGAGCUUUAACACUUUGCAGCCAAAUAGCAUGUGGAGAGACAAACACAUGAUAAUUAACACCCAUUAUAGGGAAUAUAAUAAUUUUUAAACAUCAUACAAUGAAAGUGGGCGACAAGACUAGACCCAGGACCUCCAAGUGUACCAUGUUAGAAUACCAUUUUACUUAAAAGCUUAAGCAUUAAGGUUGUGGACAAAAAUGUACAUUGAGCUUUAACACCACCACCACCACCACCACCACCAAUAAUAAUAAUAAUAAUAAUAAUAAUAAUAAUAAGUUUAAAGAAUAUUCUAGAAAAAAGUAGUAGUUAAAAACAAUAAUAAAUAAGUUUAAAAGAAUAUUUUAGAAAAGGUAAUACUUUUAUAUAGAAUGUGUUAGUAAUUAUUUUUUUCUCUAAUUAACUAAUAGGGUGAUUAUGGCUAGCAUCUAUAUAAUAUUAUCUUGCUUAGUGUUAUAUUAUUGUUGUGAUAUAUAUAUGUAUGUAUAUAUAGUGUCAUGCUUACAUCACUGGUACCACCAUCAAUUCGACCCAUUGUUCCACCUGAUCCGACCGAUCCUAAGUUCCUUUUAUGAUUUGGGCAUUAGUCCAGGUUUUCAAACUAUUUAAGGCCUGAUACAUUGUUGGCCCACAACCUAACAGCUUAAGCUUUUAGGUGAAGUCGUAAUCUAACAUGGUAUAGGAGGUCCUCGGUUCUUGUCUCGUUGCCCGCAUUUGUUAUGUGGUGUUUAAAAAAAUUAUUGUAAACCCCCUAAUGGGUGUUAUUAAUCAUGUUUUAUCUCCCUACGUGCUGUCUAGCUGCAGGUGUGGGGGAGUGAGGCCUGAUAUAUAUUGUUGGCCCGAACCUAACAACUUACGUUUUUAGGGUACUGUCCUAAUAAAAGAAGUACUUUCUUUGACUGUGUUCUACAAUGCAUGAACACUCAUUGAAGUGGAGAAGAGGGCAAAGACAUUAGGUGCUGGAGGGGCUCUAUUUGAAGCGGCGAGGCAGCGAUGGCUUAUGACAAAGAUGGUAACGAGGAUGUCGCUGGCUGGUUGAAGGCAGUGAUGCAUAAUAACUCGAUUGUGGUCACACAACAUUGGUGAUGGGGAGAUCUUCUUGAAGAGGUUGGCUUCAAGUCAGUUGGAUGGUCAUCGAAUUUGUGACUAACUCAAGGAAUGUGUGUUUGAUUUACUCAACCACAAACUCGUGUAACGACUAUGGUGAGUAGCUCUUAUGUUUGCUCUCCAUGGGUGAAAAAUAUGAGAUGACACACAGUGACUCUGGUUAUGAUGGGGUAUGAGUGUAUUGACUACCAUUGAGGGUGAUCGAGUUGCAAGGGGAGGAGUGAUAAUGGAGGUAGUGAUGGCCAUUCAAGGCUCUGAUGCAAAUCGAUGCAUGUAUGCACACACCCACAGUUAAUACCCUCUCUCCAAUUCAAUAAUUCAGUUCUCCAAAA